rnacentral:rRNA from 1 species
CCUACGGGAGUCAGCAGUGAGGAAUAUUGGUCAAUGGGCGCGAGCCUGAACCAGCCAAGUAGCGUGAAGGAUGACUGCCCUACGGGUUGUAAACUUCUUUUAUAAAGGAAUAAAGUGAGGCACGUGUGCCUUUUUGUAGGUACUUUAUGAAUAAGGAUCGGCUAACGCCGGGCCAGCUGCCGCGGUAAUACGGAGGAUCCGAGCGUUAUCCGGAGUUAUUGGGGUUAAAGGGAACGAAGAUGGGUUGGUAAGUAAGUUGUGAAAGUUUGAAGCUCAACCGUACAAUUGCAAUUGAUACUGGCAGUCUAGAGUACAGUUGAGGUAGGCGGAAUUCGUGGUGUAGCGGUGAAAUGCUUAG